rnacentral:rRNA from 1 species
UGGGGAAUAUUGCACAAUGGGCGCAAGCCUGAUGCAGCCAUGCCGCGUGUGUGAAGAAGUCCUUCGGGUUGUAAAGCACUUUCAGCGGGGAGGAAGGCGAUAAGGUUAAUAACCUUGUCGAUUGACGUUACCCGCAGAAGAAGCACCGGCUAACUCCGUGCCAGCAGCCGCGGUAAUACGGAGGGUGCAAGCGUUAAUCGGAAUUACUGGGCGUAAAGCGCACGCAGGCGGUCUGUCAAGUCGGAUGUGAAAUCCCCGGGCUCAACCUGGGAACUGCAUUGGAAACUGGAAGGAUAGAGUGUUGUAGAGGGGGGGAGAAUUCCAGGUGUAGGGGUGAAAUGCGUAGAGAUGAGGAGGAAUAACGGUGGCGAAGGCGGCGCCCGGGACAAAGACUGACGCUCAGGUGCGAAAGCGUGGGGAGCAAACAGG